rnacentral:rRNA from 1 species
AGGAUGAACGCUGGCGGCGUGCCUAAUACACGCAAGUCGAACGGAGCCUUCGGGCUUAGUGGCGAACGGGUGAGUAACACGUUGGUACCUACCCUCUAGUGGGGAAUAACUGCCCGAAAGGGUGGCUAAUACCGCAUAAUACCGCAAGGUUAAAGCAGUAAUGCGCUAGAGGAGGGGCCUGCGUCCCAUUAGCUUGUUGGUAGUGUAAUGGACUACCAAGGCGACGAUGGGUAGCUGGAUCGAGAGGUUGACCAGCCACACUGGGACUGAGAUACGGCCCAGACUCCUACGGGAGGCAGCAGUAAGGAAUCUUCCACAAUGGACGAAAGUCUGAUGGAGCAACGCCGCGUGCAGGAUGACGGUCUUCGGAUUGUAAACUGCUUUUAUAUGGGAAGAUUAUGACGGUACCAUAUGAAUAAGGACCGGCUAACUACGUGCCAGCAGCCGC